GGGGAUUUGGCUCAGUGGUAGAGCGCUUGCCUAGCAAACACAAGGCCCUGGGUUCAGUCCCCAGCUCCG
rfam:Rattus norvegicus chromosome 7, whole genome shotgun sequence.